CUCCCCAAGGACCCCUGUGAGACAAAUCAGGAAUGGCUUCCCUGGGGCCCAAGGAGCUGACAGGGCUUUUCCUGCUGCUUCUUCUACCCCUGUAUUUCACUCAGCUUUCUAAAUGACCCAGUUCCAGGCAGAUAAAUGAGACUUUUUUGCUCACCUGGAACUUCAAAAAGUGCUUACCAGAGACUGUCUCCUCACUGCUAUUUCUUAUACACAAAUUUCUUGUUGGCUUCCUGACUCAAUACUUCAAUUUAUAGUUAUCUGGUAAUUCCUCUUAAGAAACUCUCUGCAUGUUGGUAACAACUGUCUAUCCACUUCACUCAGUCCAAACAGCAGAGAGCAGCUGUUGUCAUGAGGAAAGCAAUAAGCUCACAUAAGCCUUCACCUUAUACCUCCUGAACAAAGUACUUCUGGCGUCCAGAAAAUACAAUGAUUUCAGAGAUGUCUUCUUAGAAAUAACAGAUACAGAAAUGGAAGAAGUGCAUUAUAUUGCAUUGCCAACCAAUUGCUGCAUUAUAGAUCUCACUAAAGCUCAAAGCAACCCUAUGAAACCAAUUUUGUCAUCCCUAGGGAGAAUGAAUAAUGAAACUGUGAGAAGUGAAAUAAAUUGGGUAACUUUUCUCUCCCAGUAAAUUGUGAUGCUAGACUGCAUAUCUAGUUCUGGUUCACUUCUAAAUCCACCUUCUUUCAUUAUGCAAUGAUUUAAUUAUACUCAGGAAUGAAACCAACUAACCCAUGAG
rnacentral:lncRNA from 1 species